GCCUAUAGCUCAGUCGGUUAGAGCGCUACACUGAUAAUGUAGAGGUCGAUGGUUCGAGUCCAUCUAGGCCC
rnacentral:tRNA from 1 species